rnacentral:rRNA from 1 species
GUGGGGAAUCUUAGACAAUGGGGGCAACCCUGAUCUAGCCAUGCCGCGUGAUCGAUGAAGGCCUUAGGGUUGUAAAGAUCUUUCAGCUGGGAAGAUAAUGACGGUACCCGGAGAAGAAGCUCCGGCUAACUUCGUGCCAGCAGCCGCGGUAAUACGAAGGGGGCUAGCGUUGCUCGGAUUUACUGGGCGUAAAGGGCGCGUAGGCGGACAUUUAAGUCAGGGGUGAAAUCCCGGGGCUCAACCUCGGAACUGCCUUUGAUACUGGGUGUCUUGCGUAUGAGAGAGGUGUGUGGAACUCCGAGUGUAGAGGUGAAAUUCGUAGAUAUUGGGAGGAACACCAGUGGCGAAGGCGCCUUUCUGGACUGUGUCUGACGCUGAGAUGCGAAAGCCAGGGUAGCAAACGGGAUUAGAUACCCUUGUAGUCC